rnacentral:rRNA from 1 species
GAGAAUGGAAUUCCUAGUGUAGCGGUAAAAUGCGUAGAUAUUAGGAGGAACACCGGUGGCGAAGGCGGUUCUCUGGGCCAAAACUGACGCUGAGGCGCGAAAGCGUGGGGAGCAAACAGGAUUAGAUACCCUGGUAGUCCACGCCGUAAACGAUGAUUACUAGGUGUAGGAGGUAUCGACCCCUUCUGUGCCGGAGCUAACGCAAUAAGUAAUCCGCCUGGGGAGUACGACCGCAAGGUUGAAACUCAAAGGAAUUGACGGGUCCCCGCACAAGCAGCGGAGCAUGUUGUUUAAUUCGACGCAACGCGAAGAACCUUACCAGGGCUUGACAUCUACUGAAUCCGCUAGAGACAGCGGAGUGCCCUUUUGGGAGCAGUAAGACAGGUGGUGCAUGGUUGUCGUCAGCUCGUGUCGUGAGAUGUUGGGUUAAGUCCCGCAACGAGCGCAACCCUUAUCUUUAGUUACCAGCAUGUAAUGGUGGGGACUCUAGAGAGACUGCCGGGGAUAACUCGGAGGAAGGU